rnacentral:rRNA from 1 species
UACAGAGGUCUCAAGCGUUUGUUCGGAUUCAUUGGGCGUAAAGAGCGCGCAGGCGGCUUGGUAAGUCGGAUGUGAAAUCCCGAGGCUCAACCUCGGGUCUGCAUCCGAUACUGCCCGGCUAGAGGUAGGUAGGGGAGAUCGGAAUUCCUGGUGUAGCGGUGAAAUGCGCAGAUAUCAGGAGGAACACCGGUGGGCGAAGGCGGAUCUCUGGGCCUUACCUGACGCUCAGGCGCGAAAGCUAGGGGGAGCGAACUGG